rnacentral:ncRNA from 1 species
UCCCUGGUGGAAACCCAGGCCGGCUAACUCUCGCUCCAGCCGGAAGUAUUCGGGGCGGGUCAGGAGGCGACGAAUGACCUGAAGCACUCCGAAAAUGAGCCCUUUCGAGGGUCGACGGUCCGCGCGGGCCGCAACGUGA